rnacentral:lncRNA from 1 species
UGCAGAGUGCAGUCCUCUGACCACCAGCAUUGGCAUGUCAGACAUGCAGACACUCAAAGGCCCACACCAGAGCUACUGAGUCAGAAUCUAAUUUUUUACCAACAUCCUCCAGUUGUUUACAUCUGCACAUUAAAUUUUGAGAAGCAUAGGUCUCAUCAACUUCCUGCUUCAAAAGAUGAAAAUUCAGGCAGAUUCAACAGUGGGCUUCAGCUCCAGCUGGAACAUUUUAGGAUUAGAGGUGACUUCCUGUUAAAGAAUUAUCUUCAUUUGACUGAUCUAAUUUAUUUGUUGUUCCGAUAAAACCCUGGCUUAUUUCCCCUGCUUUGGAUACAGUUAUUGGAACUUUUGUGAAACCAGGUGAAUCCUGAUCCAAAUUAUGUACGAACUGAGCUCAGCUUUUGUCAAGGACCAAGAUCAUGGCAAAUCAGCCACAUUCACCGAGGCCACGUUUCUUCAGCUUAGAGUUAGCCUUAAUUUUGAACAAAGAACAUAGAAAUGGUGAGAUUGGACCAUCCACUUCAUUUCACAGGGAAGCAAAGUGAUGAAAGAAUUAUAUAAAUGUGAUUGUAACAAUGAUACUUUCAAAAAUAAAUGUAAAUUGUUAAGAAUCA